rnacentral:rRNA from 1 species
UGCGUAGGCGGGCUAAUAAGUCAGUGGUGAAAUCUCUCGGCUCAACCGGGAAACUGCCAUUGAUACUGUCAGUCUUGAGUUCGGUUGAGGUAGGCGGAAUGUGUAAUGUAGCGGUGAAAUGCUUAGAUAUUACACAGAACACCAAUUGCGUAGGCAGCUUACUAGACCGACACUGACGCUGAGGCACGAAAGCGUGGGGAGCGAACAGGAUUAGAUACCCUGGUAGUCC